rnacentral:piRNA from 1 species
UUCGACUAAGCCCAAAGUCUCAGUGUACCU